UACGUAGGUGGCAAGCGUUGUCCGGAUUUACUGGGCGUAAAGGGCGUGCAGGCGGUCUGUUAAGUCUAGGGUGAAAGCUCCCGGCUCAACUGGGAGAGGUCCUUGGAUACUGGCGGACUUGAGGGAGGCAGAGGAAAGUGGAAUUCCCGGUGUAGUGGUGAAAUGCGUAGAUAUCAGGAGGAACACCGGUGGUGUAGACGGCUUUCUGGACCGUAACUGACGCUGAGACACGAAAGCGUGGGUAGCAAACAGG
rnacentral:rRNA from 1 species